rfam:Perkinsus marinus ATCC 50983 gcontig_1104296740030, whole genome shotgun sequence.
GGCUGUGUGGUCUAGUGGUAUGAUUCUCGCUUUGGGUGCGAGAGGUCCCGAGUUCGAUUCUCGGCCCAGCCC